rnacentral:tRNA from 1 species
GCUUUUAAAGGAUAACAGCUCAUCCAUUGGUCUUAGGAAUCAAAAACUCUUGGUGCAAAUCCAAGUAAAAGCU